GCGGAAGUGGCGAAAUUGGUAGACGCACCAGACUUAGGAUCUGACGCCGCAAGGCGUGGAGGUUCGAUUCCUCUCUUCCGUACCA
rnacentral:tRNA from 4 species